CCUACGGGAGGCUGCAGUGGGGAAUAUUGGACAAUGGGGGGAACCCUGAUCCAGCCAUGCCGCGUGUGUGAAGAAGGCCCUCGGGUUGUAAAGCACUUUCAGUGAGGAAGAACGCCUGGUGGUUAAUACCCAUCAGGAAAGACAUCACUCACAGAAGAAGCACCGGCUAACUCCGUGCCAGCAGCCGCGGUAAUACGGAGGGUGCGAGCGUUAAUCGGAAUUACUGGGCGUAAAGCGCGCGUAGGUGGCUUGAUAAGCCGGUUGUGAAAGCCCCGGGCUCAACCUGGGAACGGCAUCCGGAACUGUCAAGCUAGAGUGCAGGAGAGGAAGGUAGAAUUCCCGGUGUAGCGGUGAAAUGCGUAGAGAUCUGGAGGAAUACCAGUGGCGAAGGCGGCCUUCUGGACUGACACUGACACUGAGGUGCGAAAGCGUGGGUAGCAAACAGGAUUAGAUACCCCAGUAGUC
rnacentral:rRNA from 1 species